rnacentral:rRNA from 1 species
UACGAAUGGGGCAAGCGUUGUUCGGAAUAACUGGGCUUAAAGCGUGCGUAGGCGGAUCUGCAAGUCAGAAGUGAAAGCCCCGGGCUUAACCCGGGAAUUGCUUUUGAAACUGCAGAUCUAGAAACCGGGAGAGGUUGGCGGAAUUCCGAGUGUAGAGGUGAAAUUCGCAGAUAUUCGGAGGAACACCAGUGGCGAAGGCGGCCAACUGGACCGGCAUUGACGCUGAGGCACGAAAGCGUGGGCAGCAAACAGG